CAAUUUAAACAACGAAGAGUUUGAUCCUGGCUCAGGAUGAACGCUAGCGACAGGCUUAACACAUGCAAGUCGAGGGGCAGCGGGGGUAGCAAUACCCGCCGGCGACCGGCGCACGGGUGAGUAACGCGUAUGCAACUUGCCUAUCAGAGGGGGAUAACCCGGCGAAAGUCGGACUAAUACCGCAUGAAGCAGGGGUCCCGCAUGGGGAUAUUUGCUAAAGAUUCAUCGCUGAUAGAUAGGCAUGCGUUCCAUUAGGCAGUUGGCGGGGUAACGGCCCACCAAACCGACGAUGGAUAGGGGUUCUGAGAGGAAGGUCCCCCACAUUGGUACUGAGACACGGACCAAACUCCUACGGGAGGCAGCAGUGAGGAAUAUUGGUCAAUGGGCGUAAGCCUGAACCAGCCAAGUCGCGUGAGGGAUGAAGGUUCUAUGGAUCGUAAACCUCUUUUAUAAGGGAAUAAAGUGCGGGACGUGUCCCGUUUUGUAUGUACCUUAUGAAUAAGGAUCGGCUAACUCCGUGCCAGCAGCCGCGGUAAUACGGAGGAUUCGAGCGUUAUCCGGAUUUAUUGGGUUUAAAGGGUGCGUAGGCGGCCUUUUAAGUCAGCGGUGAAAGUCUGUGGCUCAACCAUAGAAUUGCCGUUGAAACUGGGAGGCUUGAGUAUGUUUGAGGCAGGCGGAAUGCGUGGUGUAGCGGUGAAAUGCUUAGAUAUCACGCAGAACCCCGAUUGCGAAGGCAGCCUGCCAAGCCAUGACUGACGCUGAUGCACGAAAGCGUGGGGAUCAAACAGGAUUAGAUACCCUGGUAGUCCACGCAGUAAACGAUGAUCACUAGCUGUUUGCGAUACAGUGUAAGCGGCACAGCGAAAGCGUUAAGUGAUCCACCUGGGGAGUACGCCGGCAACGGUGAAACUCAAAGGAAUUGACGGGGGCCCGCACAAGCGGAGGAACAUGUGGUUUAAUUCGAUGAUACGCGAGGAACCUUACCCGGGUUUGAACGCAUUCGGACCGAGGUGGAAACACCUUUUCUAGCAAUAGCCGUUUGCGAGGUGCUGCAUGGUUGUCGUCAGCUCGUGCCGUGAGGUGUCGGCUUAAGUGCCAUAACGAGCGCAACCCUUGCCACUAGUUACUAACAGGUUAGGCUGAGGACUCUGGUGGGACUGCCAGCGUAAGCUGCGAGGAAGGCGGGGAUGACGUCAAAUCAGCACGGCCCUUACAUCCGGGGCGACACACGUGUUACAAUGGCGUGGACAAAGGGAAGCCACCUGGCGACAGGGAGCGAAUCCCCAAACCACGUCUCAGUUCGGAUCGGAGUCUGCAACCCGACUCCGUGAAGCUGGAUUCGCUAGUAAUCGCGCAUCAGCCAUGGCGCGGUGAAUACGUUCCCGGGCCUUGUACACACCGCCCGUCAAGCCAUGGGAGCCGGGGGUACCUGAAGUCCGUAACCGCGAGGAUCGGCCUAGGGUAAAACUGGUGACUGGGGCUAAGUCGUAACAAGGUAGCCGUACCGGAAGGUGCGGCUGGAACACCUCCUUUCU
rnacentral:rRNA from 1 species